rnacentral:ncRNA from 1 species
GCGAAGAUAAAAACACAGUUCCGGUUGGUAGUCCGGACGCGGCGUGCGCCGUCAGUAACCUGCCUCCUUGGUUGUCCGUUCUUCGCCCAAAA